CCUACGGGGGGCAGCAGUGGGGAAUAUUGCACAAUGGGCGGAAGCCUGAUGCAGCAACGCCGCGUGCGGGAUGACGGCCUUCGGGUUGUAAACCGCUUUCGCCUGUGACGAAGCGUGAGUGACGGUAAUGGGUAAAGAAGCACCGGCUAACUACGUGCCAGCAGCCGCGGUGAUACGUAGGGUGCGAGCGUUGUCCGGAUUUAUUGGGCGUAAAGGGCUCGUAGGUGGUUGAUCGCGUCGGAAGUGUAAUCUUGGGGCUUAACCCUGAGCGUGCUUUCGAUACGGGUUGACUUGAGGAAGGUAGGGGAGAAUGGAAUUCCUGGUGGAGCGGUGGAAUGCGCAGAUAUCAGGAGGAACACCAGUGGCGAAGGCGGUUCUCUGGGCCUUUCCUGACGCUGAGGAGCGAAAGCGUGGGGAGCGAACA
rnacentral:rRNA from 1 species